CCUCAUGGCCUUUAUGUCUAGGGCUACACACGUGCGUACAAUGGGUGGUACAAAGAGCAGCUAACUCGCGAGAGUAUGCAAAUCUCAAAAAGCCAUCCUCAGUUCGGAUUGGAGUCUGCAACUCGACUCCAUGAAGUUGGAAUCGCUAGUAAUCGCGGAUCAGCAUGCCGCGGUCGAAUACGUUCCCGGGCCCUU
rnacentral:rRNA from 1 species